UCAUCUCCGUUAUAAUAUUUCCAUUCAAAUGACAAGUGACAAAGUUUCAAACAGCAUCGAUCUCGGUGGCCAUAGUUGGUAACGCGCUCGCUCCCCAAGAUUGUGGGGUCGAUUCCGGCCACCAGCAACUAUAGGACAGUGACGUUAAAUACCGUGUGCGGAUAUUUGGACAUAUACAUUAAAAAAUCAGCAUCUGGACAAAAUUGCUCGUUGCCAUUUUUUCGCUGGUUACUGAUCCACGAAUGCGGUGCUCAAGGCCAAAUCGAGAGAAGGGGCGGAAGUUUCCACGUGUGCUUUAACAUCCGCCCGAAACAGGAUGAUCGAUUAUUAGUAAUAAGGGCAAAGACCGGAUGGUUCAACAUUUCCCGGACGUCUUGCCUUCCUGCCUUCUGGACGACUGCGGUACUAGUCCCGCUACUGAUAAAGACCCAUACGAGGGACAUAAGAGGGGAACUCGCCAACAGUACCAACAGACAGUCAAUCAUGAAGGUUUUGAUCCUAAUCUUGAGCCUGGUGGUGUUCAUCUCUUCGGUAGCCACGGCGCCCACCUUCUUCACAUAUGAAGGCGUCGAAGGCGAACAAGGUCUCGGAGUCGGAAUUGGUGGAGUCGGUCUCGGUGUAGGUGUCGACCCUGACGGCGGCAUCCUAGGAACGGGCCUUAAUAUUGGCUUUACGGGUGACCUACCCGGCUUGUUGACAAGCGGUUUCAAUCGGCCUGGUGCCCUCUUGGGUAUUCUGGCCAAGUGAGAGCCACCGCACUAUGCACGGUGGAGAGCACACAAGAGCUAAUAAACGAUAAAUAUUGCAUUGAACUGAAUUGAAUUUGAAAGGAAAAAUAAAGAGUGCGUUUAUGAGGGGAAA